CAGAGGGUGCAAGCGUUGUUCGGAAUUAUUGGGCGUAAAGCGCGUGUAGGCGGUCUUGCAAGUCGGGUGUGAAAUCCCUUGGCUCAACUGAGGAAGUGCGCCCGAAACUGCAGGACUUGGGUACCGGAGAGGAUGGCGGAAUUCCCCAAGUAGAGGUGAAAUUCGUAGAUAUGGGGAGGAACACCGGUGGCGAAGGCGGCCAUCUGGACGGAUACUGACGCUGAGACGCGAAAGCAUGGGGAGCAAACAGGAUUAGAUACCCUGGUAGUCCAUGCCGUAAACGAUGAGAACUAGGUGUCGCGGGAGUUGACCCCUGCGGUGCCGUAGCUAACGCAUUAAGUUCUCCGCCUGGGAAGUACGGCCGCAAGGCUA
rnacentral:rRNA from 1 species